AACGAACGCUGGCGGCAUGCCUAACACAUGCAAGUCGAACGAGAUCUUCGGGUCUAGUGGCGCACGGGUGCGUAACGCGUGGGAAUCUGCCCUUUGGUUCGGAAUAACAGUUGGAAACGACUGCUAAUACCGGAUGAUGACGAAUGUCCAAAGAUUUAUUGCCAGAGGAUGAGCCCGCGUAGGAUUAGCUAGUUGGUGUGGUAAAGGCGCACCAAGGCGACGAUCCUUAGCUGGUCUGAGAGGAUGAUCAGCCACACUGGGACUGAGACACGGCCCAGACUCCUACGGGAGGCAGCAGUGGGGAAUAUUGGACAAUGGGCGAAAGCCUGAUCCAGCAAUGCCGCGUGAGUGAUGAAGGCCUUAGGGUUGUAAAGCUCUUUUACCCGGGAUGAUAAUGACAGUACCGGGAGAAUGAGCUCCGGCUAACUCCGUGCCAGCCGCCGCCGUAA
rnacentral:rRNA from 1 species